ACUAAGCGUACACGGUGGAUGCCCUGGCAGUCAGAGGCGAUGAAGGGCGUGCUAAUCUGCGAUAAGCGCCGGUAAGGUGAUAUGAACCGUUAUAACCGGCGAUACCCGAAUGGGGAAACCCAGUGUGAUUCGUCACACUAUCAUUAACUGAAUCCAUAGGUUAAUGAGGCGAACCGGGGGAACUGAAACAUCUAAGUACCCCGAGGAAAAGAAAUCAACCGAGAUUCCCCCAGUAGCGGCGAGCGAACGGGGAGGAGCCCAGAGCCUGAAUCAGCAUGUGUGUUAGUGGAAGCGUCUGGAAAGGCGCGCGAUACAGGGUGACAGCCCCGUACACAAAAGCGCAUGUGCUGUGAGCUCGAUGAGUAGGGCGGGACACGUGGUAUCCUGUCUGAAUAUGGGGGGACCAUCCUCCAAGGCUAAAUACUCCUGACUGACCGAUAGUGAACCAGUACCGUGAGGGAAAGGCGAAAAGAACCCCGGCGAGGGGAGUGAAAAAGAACCUGAAACCGUGUACGUACAAGCAGUGGGAGCUGAGGGAAAGGCGAAAAGAACCCCGGCGAGGGGAGUGAAAAAGAACCUGAAACCGUGUACGUACAAGCAGUGGGAGCCCCACCACUAAGCCAGUGGUGAACUCCACAUACGCAUCCUUUGCUGAGGAUACGGUUAACGGAGCGCAAGCGACGUUCAACCGCAAAAGAAGCAGAGGGGGCUUAGUGGUGGGGUGACUGCGUACCUUUUGUAUAAUGGGUCAGCGACUUAUAUUCUGUAGCAAGGUUAACCGUAUAGGGGAGCCGGAGGGAAACCGAGUCUUAAUUGGGCGUUAAGUUGCAGGGUAUAGACCCGAAACCCGGUGAUCUAGCCAUGGGCAGGUUGAAGGUUGGGUAACACUAACUGGAGGACCGAACCGACUAAUGUUGAAAAAUUAGCGGAUGACCUGUGGCUGGGGGUGAAAGGCCAAUCAAACCGGGAGAUAGCUGGUUCUCCCCGAAAGCUAUUUAGGUAGCGCCUCGUGAAUUCAUCUCCGGGGGUAGAGCACUGUUUCGGCUAGGGGGCCAUCCCGGCUUACCAACCCGAUGCAAACUGCGAAUACCGGAGAAUGUUAUCACGGGAGACACACGGCGGGUGCUAACGUCCGUCGUGAAGAGGGAAACAACCCAGACCGCCAGCUAAGGUCCCAAAGUCAUGGUUAAGUGGGAAACGAUGUGGGAAGGCCCAGACAGCCAGGAUGUUGGCUUAGAAGCAGCCAUCAUUUAAAGAAAGCGUAAUAGCUCACUGGUCGAGUCGGCCUGCGCGGAAGAUGUAACGGGGCUAAACCAUGCACCGAAGCUGCGGCAGCGAGUAAUAGCUCACUGGUCGAGUCGGCCUGCGCGGAAGAUGUAACGGGGCUAAACCAUGCACCGAAGCUGCGGCAGCGAACGUAUCACUUAAAGCGAUUCAGCGGGUUACGAUUGACGGAGCGAAGCGACGUCAAAGCGUAUACAAAGUCGAGUCGGUUUAAGGAUACGUUCGUUGGGUAGGGGAGCGUUCUGUAAGCCUGUGAAGGUGUGUCGUGAGGCAUGCUGGAGGUAUCAGAAGUGCGAAUGCUNGUUGGGUAGGGGAGCGUUCUGUAAGCCUGUGAAGGUGGCCUGUGAGGGUUGCUGGAGGUAUCAGAAGUGCGAAUGCUGACAUAAGUAACGAUAAAGCGGGUGAAAAGCCCGCUCGCCGGAAGACCAAGGGUUCCUGUCCAACGUUAAUCGGGGCAGGGUGAGUCGACCCCUAAGGCGAGGCCGAAAGGCGUAGUCGAUGGGAAACGGGUUAAUAUUCCCGUACUUGGUGUUACUGCGAAGGGGGGACGGAGAAGGCUAUGUUGGCCGGGCGACGGUUGUCCCGGUUUAAGCGUGUAGGUGUGUGUUCCAGGUAAAUCCGGUUCACUUUAACACUGAGGCGUGAUGACGAGGCACUACGGUGCUGAAGCAACAAAUGCCCUGCUUCCAGGAAAAGCCUCUAAGCAUCAGGUAACAUCAAAUCGUACCCCAAACCGACACAGGUGGUCAGGUAGAGAAUACCAAGGCGCUUGAGAGAACUCGGGUGAAGGAACUAGGCAAAAUGGUGCCGUAACUUCGGGAGAAGGCACGCUGACAUGUAGGUGAAGUGAUUUACUCAUGGAGCUGAAGUCAGUCGAAGAUACCAGCUGGCUGCAACUGUUUAUUAAAAACACAGCACUGUGCAAACACGAAAGUGGACGUAUACGGUGUGACGCCUGCCCGGUGCCGGAAGGUUAAUUGAUGGGGUCAGCGCAAGCGAAGCUCCUGAUCGAAGCCCCGGUAAACGGCGGCCGUAACUAUAACGGUCCUAAGGUAGCGAAAUUCCUUGUCGGGUAAGUUCCGACCUGCACGAAUGGCGUAAUGAUGGCCAGGCUGUCUCCACCCGAGACUCAGUGAAAUUGAACUCGCUGUGAAGAUGCAGUGUACCCGCGGCAAGACGGAAAGACCCCGUGAACCUUUACUAUAGCUUGACACUGAACAUUGAGCCUUGAUGUGUAGGAUAGGUGGGAGGCUUUGAAGCGUGGACGCCAGUCUGCGUGGAGCCGGCCUUGAAAUACCACCCUUUAAUGUUUGAUGUUCUAACGUGGACCCGUAAUCCGGGUUGCGGACAGUGUCUGGUGGGUAGUUUGACUGGGGCGGUCUCCUCCUAAAGAGUAACGGAGGAGCACGAAGGUUGGCUAAUCCUGGUCGGACAUCAGGAGGUUAGUGCAAUGGCAUAAGCCAGCUUGACUGCGAGCGUGACGGCGCGAGCAGGUGCGAAAGCAGGUCAUAGUGAUCCGGUGGUUCUGAAUGGAAGGGCCAUCGCUCAACGGAUAAAAGGUACUCCGGGGAUAACAGGCUGAUACCGCCCAAGAGUUCAUAUCGACGGCGGUGUUUGGCACCUCGAUGUCGGCUCAUCACAUCCUGGGGCUGAAGUAGGUCCCAAGGGUAUGGCUGUUCGCCAUUUAAAGUGGUACGCGAGCUGGGUUUAGAACGUCGUGAGACAGUUCGGUCCCUAUCUGCCGUGGGCGCUGGAGAACUGAGGGGGGCUGCUCCUAGUACGAGAGGACCGGAGUGGACGCAUCACUGGUGUUCGGGUUGUCAUGCCAAUGGCACUGCCCGGUAGCUAAAUGCGGAAGAGAUAAGUGCUGAAAGCAUCUAAGCACGAAACUUGCCCCGAGAUGAGUUCUCCCUGAGACUUNAGCUAAAUGCGGAAGAGAUAAGUGCUGAAAGCAUCUAAGCACGAAACUUGCCCCGAGAUGAGUUCUCCCUGAGACUUAGAGUCUCCUGAAGGAACGUUGAAGACGACGACGUUGAUAGGCCGGGUGUGUAAGCGCAGCGAUGCGUUGAGCUAACCGGUACUAAUGAACCGUGAGGCUUAACC
rnacentral:rRNA from 1 species